rnacentral:rRNA from 1 species
CCUACGGGAGGCAGCAGUGAGGAAUAUUGGACAAUGGGCGCGAGCCUGAACCAGCCAAGCCGCGUGAGGGAUGACGGCCCUACGGGUUGUAAACCUCUUUUGCCGGGGAGCAACGGGCGCCACGUGUGGCGCCACUGAGAGUACCCGGCGAGAAAGCAUCGGCUAACUUCGUGCCAGCAGCCGCGGUAAUACGUAGGUGGCGAGCGUUGUCCGGAUUUACUGGGCGUAAAGGUAGCGUAGGCGGACUUUUAAGUGAGAUGUGAAAUACUCGGGCUCAACUUGAGUGCUGCAUUUCAAACUGGAAGUCUAGAGUGCAGGAGAGGAGAAUGGAAUUCCUAGUGUAGCGGUGAAAUGCGUAGAGAUUAGGAAGAACACCAGUGGCGAAGGCGAUUCUCUGGACUGUAACUGACGCUGAGGCUCGAAAGCGUGGGGAGCAAACAGGAUUAGAUACCCGGGUAGUC